rnacentral:rRNA from 1 species
AACGACCAUACCAUGCUGAAUAUGCCGGUUCUCGUUAGAUCACCGAAGUCAAGCAUCAUUGGGCGCGGUCAGUACUUGGGUGGGUGACCACCUGGGAACACCGCGUGCAGCU